rnacentral:rRNA from 1 species
AACGAACGCUGGCGGCGUGCCUAACACAUGCAAGUCGAACGAGAAAGGGGCUUCGGCUCCGAGUAAAGUGGCGCACGGGUGAGUAACACGUGGGUAACCUGCCUCUAAGAUUGGGACAACUCGUCGAAAGAUGAGCUAAUACCGAAUAAGACCACAGUUCCUGCGGGAACAGGGGUCAAAGGUAGCCUCUGCUUGCAAGCUAUCACUUAGAGAUGGGCCUGCGCACCAUUAGCUAGUUGGUAGGGUAACGGCCUACCAAGGCAAAGAUGGUUAGCUGGUCUGAGAGGAUGAUCAGCCACACUGGAACUGAGACACGGUCCAGACUCCUACGGGAGGCAGCAGUGGGGAAUAUUGCGCAAUGGGCGAAAGCUUGACGCAGCAACGCCGCGUGAGUGAUGAAGGCCUUCGGGUCGUAAAGCUCUGUCGGGAGGAACGAAUGCUCCUGAGGUUAACAGCCUCGGGAGGUGACGGUACCUUCAAAGGAAGCACCGGCUAACUCUGUGCCAGCAGCCGCGGUAAUACAGAGGGUGCGAGCGUUGUCCGGAAUCACUGGGCGU